GUUGGUCGUCUCCUCCCUCCUGGCGGGCCCUCCCACAUCCUUCCGGUUAAGUCUUCAGGACAGCACCGUGUUCCUUUUCAGGGCUUCCUGUUGUGAGACCACUCGUGCAAGCAGCUAUCAUCCUGCCUGACCAAGAAUUGCCCGGUGACAUCAGCUAUUCCCCCGAAGUUGACGCAGCUACUAAAUAUACUGGUGUGUGUGUAAAGGCAGCUCAAGAAUGGGCUUGCUGCAGGAGUUUCAGCUGCUGUUCCUUGUUUGGGUCAUCUUCUCUGUGGGCUUUGCCUUGUUCUUGCUUGAGCAGUUCCACCUCAUUCCGCGAAAGCUGUUACACAGAGACGUGGAUUCAUCGCACUCCAAAUACGCAUCUAUACUUGCCAUCUUUCCGAGCGGCUGGGUAACCUGUCAUCAGACGGGCAGUCUUCCUAACAAUCACAACACCAAAAGAAGAGGCUAAAAAUGAAGAUGACUGUAUCCUGGGAACUGGAUGGAAAAAGUAUCUGCCAACCGGGGAAGAAAUAUUUUAUUUGCUUUGCUGGGUCAGUACCAAUGAUAGCAUGCAGUUGGGCUGAACAGCACAGAGGUUACUCUGCAAAUCCAGUGACUGCUCCAGAUGGACAGUUAUUUAUUUCUGCUUUGGUUUGCCUGUUUGUCCUCUGGCAAGCCACAUAGCUCAAUACAAACUAGUGAUAUUUCAUCUUUUUCUUUUUGUUUCUUCUUGUACUGCAGGCCAGUAAUUAUGCUCAUCUCCUACAGGUCAUGUGGAGAAACAUGGCAGAGAAAAGGGCAUAGAUCUAGGAGAAGGGUUAGAGGCAUGUUCUCCAAUUGAAACGUGAAAAUAUCCUCCCUCCGAGAAAAUGAGGAGGAGAGACUGCUUCCUUCCUGGGGGAAAGGGCAUGCUGAUGAGUGGAGAUAGAUACACGCAGCCAAGUGGGAGCAGAUAAUAAUCUCCUCAGUCUGGACCCGUCACUAAGCAAAAGAAAAUGUAAUCUCCUCUAAUGCUACUCAGGGACCUCACUUACAAAAUAUAUUUCCCACUCUUUAAAAUGAGGGUUUUUGCCAUUUUAAUGAGGACAUCAAGUCUUUACUUUCACAGACUUAAUAUUAAUUGGGUCCAUUUCUGAAGUGGGAAUUUUUUGUACCAUGCCACAACAUUGAAGAGUUCAAUAUUACCUUUUAAUAAUGUGUUUGAGUAGGUGAAUCUAUCAGUUCUGAUACUGAAGAGCGUAGAACGGUGAGUUUAUUCAUAUCCUGCCAUCAUUAGGUCUCAGCUUCUUCUUUUUGGCUGUUCCUUAUGUAGGUAAAAUGUUUCUUUAUGGGGAUUGCUCCUCAGAUCUGAAGGCUGCCAGUUCAUCACGGCGACGUGAAAGCAGGAGGGCAGCUGUGAACUCCUUUUAGAGGAGCCACUCAGAGCAAAAUCCUAGACAUGGUUUUCUUUUCUCUCUCUUUCUUUCUUUCUUUCUUUCUUUCUUUCUUUCUUUCUUUCUUUCUCUCUUUCUUUCUUUCUCUGUCU